rnacentral:sRNA from 1 species
AAUGAUGGAGCUCAGUCUGCAGAUGCCUUGGUGGCAUCAGGCGGCUCACUGGCUGGCCUUCCUGAUCUGUAUCCCAUCCUUCCAGCCUCCUGCUCCAGUCCCAUCACAGUCUGCUCUCUGCCAUCCCCUCUGCUGUAACUAAGCCUCUCUGUUCUCUGCCAUCUCCCCCUCCCCCAACCCUGGCCCCCACAGUGUGGCUCUGCAGAAUACAUGGCCCCUGAGGUAGUGGAGGUCUUCACGGACCAGGCCACAUUCUACGACAAGCGCUGUGACCUGUGGAGCCUGGGCGUGGUCCUCUACAUCAUGCUGAGUGGCUACCCGCCCUUCGUGGGUCACUGCGGGGCUGACUGUGGCUGGGACCGGGGCGAGGUCUGCAGGGUGUGCCAGAACAAGCUGUUUGAAAGCAUCCAGGAAGGCAAGUAUGAGUUUCCUGACAAGGACUGGGCACACAUCUCCAGUGAGGCCAAAGACCUCAUCUCCAAGCUCCUGGUGCGAGAUGCAAAGCAGAGACUUAGCGCCGCCCAAGUUCUGCAGCACCCAUGGGUGCAGGGGG